rnacentral:rRNA from 1 species
CCCUUCAGUCGGCAAUACCCUCGGGAAACUGAGGCUAAUGGCCGAUAUGAAACAGUCGCUGGAAUGCACUUGUUUUCUAAAGACACCGCUGAAGGAUGCGGCUGCGGCCGAUUAUGUAGACGGUGGGGUAACGGCCCACCGUGCCAGUAAUCGGUACGGGUGAUGAGAGUCAGAGCCCGGAGACGGAAUCUGACACAAGAUUCCGGGCCCUACGGGGCGCAGCAGGCGCAAAACCUUUACACUGCACGGAAGUGCUAUAGGGGAAUCCCAAGUGCGAGGGCAUAUUAGCCCUCGCUUUUGUUGACUGUACGGUGGUCAACGAAUAAGAGCUGGGCAAGACCGGCGUCAGCCGCCGUGAGUAAUACCGGCAGCUCGAGUGAUGUCCCAUAUUAUUGGGCCGAGAUCGUCCGUAGCUGGCCACCCAAGUCCAUCGGGACAUCCACCUGCCCAAGGGGUGGGCGUCCGGUGGAAACUGGC